rfam:Ruminococcus sp. DSM 100440 contig00008, whole genome shotgun sequence.
GAAGAAGAUAGAGGCGCGGGAUUCAUCAGUAUGCUCUGGACAGACGGACGUACCAUCCGCAGAGCAGAAAGGGGAAACCGCCGAAGGAAGUGAAGGAGGACGUAACUUUGCUUUCUGGGAUGUUGUAGAAGAUACAGCAUACUGUCACAGAUUGUGGAGCGCUAUCGUGGAA